rnacentral:rRNA from 1 species
GACAGCAGUAGCCGCGGUAACACGAAGGGUGCAAGCGUUAAUCGGAAUUACUGGGCGUAAAGCGUGCGUAGGCGGUGAGUUAAGUCUGCUGUGAAAUCCCCGGGCUCAACCUGGGAGUGGCAGUGGAUACUGGCUCGCUAGAGUGUGUCAGAGGAUGGUGGAAUUCCCGGUGUAGCGGUGAAAUGCGUAGAGAUCGGGAGGAACAUCAGUGGCGAAGGCGGCCAUCUGGGACAACACUGACGCUGGGGCACGAAAGCGUGGGGAGCAAACAGGAUUAGAUACCCCAGUAGUCCCUGUCUCUUAUAC